AUACGGAGGAUCCGAGCGUUAUCCGGAUUUAUUGGGUUUAAAGGGUGCGCAGGCGGCCAUUUAAGUCAGCGGUUAAAUCGUGGGGCUCAACCCCAUUCUGCCGUUGAUACUGGGUGGCUUGAUUGCGGUCGAGGUUGGCGGAAUUCGUUGUGUAGCGGUGAAAUGCAUAGAUAUGACGAAGAACACCGAUUGCGUAGGCAGCUGACCAGACCGGAAAAGACGCACAUGCGCGAAAGUGCGGAGAUCGAACAGUAUUAGAUACCCUGGUAGUCCGCACAGUAAACGAUGAAUACUUGUUUUCGGCGAUAUAAUGUCGGAGGCAAAGCGAAAGCGAUAAGUAUUCCACCUGGGGAGUCCGCCGGCAACGGUGAAACUCAAAUGAAUUGACGGGG
rnacentral:rRNA from 1 species